rnacentral:rRNA from 1 species
AAUCAACGCUGGCGGCGUGCCUCAGACAUGCAAGUCGAACGCGAAAGUCCCCUUCGGGGGAUGAGUAGAGUGGCGUCCGGGUGAGUAACACGUAGGUAAUCUACCUUUGGGUGGGGAAUAACCCCGAGAAAUCGGGGCUAAUACCGCAUAAUGCAACGGCACCACAUGGUGACAGUUGUUAAAGCGGGGGAUCGCAAGACCUCGCGCCUAAAGAGGAGCCUGCGGCGGAUUAGCUAGUUGGAGGGUAACGGCCUACCAAGGCAACGAUCCGUAGCCGGCCUGAGAGGGCGGUCGGCCACACUGACACUGAAAUACGGGUCAGACUCCUACGGGAGGCAGCA